ACAACAGCACUGGAGGCUGAAAUCCUCUUUCUCCACAGAGCAGGUACACAGAGGCGGGAGAGGUGCAGGCCUUCCCCAUCCUGCCUGGUCUCUUUACUCAGCCCAGACCUGGCCAGAUCAGCUCAGGAGCCAUCUUUUCUGCACGUUCACUCUUAGACUCUCUUCUGCA
ensembl:misc_RNA